UACGGGGGGGGCAAGCGUUGUUCGGAAUUACUGGGCGUAAAGGGCGCGUAGGCGGCCAACUAAGUCAGACGUGAAAUCCCCAGGCUCAACCUGGGAACUGCGUCUGAUACUGGAUGGCUUGAAUCCGGGAGAGGGAUGCAGAAUUCCAGGUGUAGCGGUGAAAUGCGUAGAGAUGUGGAGGAACACCAGUGGCGAAGGCGGCUUUCUGGUCUGUAACUGACGCUGAGGCGCGAAAGCGUGGGGAGCAAACAGG
rnacentral:rRNA from 1 species